rnacentral:rRNA from 1 species
AUUGAACGCUGGCGGCAGGCCUAACACAUGCAAGUCGAACGAGUGGCGGACGGGUGAGUAAUGUCUGGGAAACUGCCCGAUGGAGGGGGAUAACUACUGGAAACGGUAGCUAAUACCGCAUACCAUUGGAGGUGCCCAGAUGGGAUUAGCUAGUAGGUGGGGUAACGACUCACCAAGGCGACGAUCCAUAGCUGGUCUGAGAGGAUGACCAGCCACACUGGACCGGAGACACGGCCCAGACUCCUACGCGAGGCAUCAGUGGAGAAUAUUGCACAAUGGGCGCAAGCCUGAGGCAGCCUGGCCGCGUGUAUGAAGAAGGCCUUCGGGUUGUAAAGUACUUUCAGCGAGGAGGCGUUACUCGCAGAAGAAGCACCGGCUAACUCCGUGCCAGCCGCCGCGGUAAUAC